rnacentral:rRNA from 1 species
CCCUUAGAUGUUCUGGGCCGCACGCGCGCUACACUGUUCAACGCAGCGAGUCUUAACCUUGACCGAAAGGUUUGGGUAAUCUUCAGCAAAGUCGAACGUGAUGGGGAUCGAUCAUUGCAAUUAUUGAUCGUGAACGAGGAAUUCCUAGUAAGUGCAAGUCAUCAGCUUGCGCUGAUUACGUCCCUGCCCUUUGUACACACCGCCCGUCGCUACUACCGAUUGAAUGGUUUAGUGAGAUCUCUGGAUUGACGCUGGCUAGGGGGCGACCCUUGGCCAGACUGUUGAGAAACUGCUCAAACUUGAUCAUUUAGAGGAAGUAAAAGUCGUAACA